rnacentral:rRNA from 1 species
CCCGCAAGGGGAGUGGCAGACGGGUGAGUAACGCGUGGGAACAUACCCUUUCCUGCGGAAUAGCUCCGGGAAACUGGAAUUAAUACCGCAUACGCCCUACGGGGGAAAGAUUUAUCGGGGAAGGAUUGGCCCGCGUUGGAUUAGCUAGUUGGUGGGGUAAAGGCCUACCAAGGCGACGAUCCAUAGCUGGUCUGAGAGGAUGAUCAGCCACAUUGGGACUGAGACACGGCCCAAACUCCUACGGGAGGCAGCAGUGGGGAAUAUUGGACAAUGGGCGCAAGCCUGAUCCAGCCAUGCCGCGUGAGUGAUGAAGGCCUUAGGGUUGUAAAGCUCUUUCACCGGAGAAGAUAAUGACGGUAUCCGGAGAAGAAGCCCCGGCUAACUUCGUGCCAGCAGCCGCGGUAAUACGAAGGGGGCUAGCGUUGUUCGGAAUUACUGGGCGUAAAGCGCACGUAGGCGGAUAUUUAAGUCAGGGGUGAAAUCCCAGAGCUCAACUCUGGAACUGCCUUUGAUACUGGGUAUCUUGAGUAUGGAAGAGGUAAGUGGAAUUCCGAGUGUAGAGGUGAAAUUC